CAAAAUGAUGCAAACCAUGAUGAAUAUUCUCAUUGGACAGGAGAUGCUUAAAGAACUAGUUUAAGCGUGACGUCACGAGGGCACAGAACUCAUUUUGGCGUGUCCCUGGUUGUCACGUGAGUUCUCGCCACCGUGGGACAUUUAAAGAUUUCCACUCGUCUGUGAACUCUGGAAGAGGAAUCCGUGUCCGGCAGCAGCUGCCUCGGAGGUACCAGAUCCACAUCAUGCGGUCUCCGUCCCCCCGGGCUCGUCCUUGCUGUCCUGCUCCACCGCCGGGGCGACAACUGGGGGCGAAGAAGAAGAGGAGGAGGAGGAGAAACUUUCCCGUUGCUGAAUGAAAAAAAAGUCCGGUUUAAGUUGGAAAGUGGCGGUGUACUGGCCGGACCCGGGUCGAGGUGGCUGCGAGCAGACUGGAGGAGGUCGGUAUGUUGCCGCUGGGAGAGGCGGAGUCGGAGGCAGAGAGCCGGAGAGCAGAGGUCAGUCACUUGGGGGACCGAGGUGCCCCGAACUGUGGCCGCAGCACGACCAUUGUACGACGUGUUUACCGCAGCCUGGUGUACGGUUCUGUGCAUAAUAAGCAUUGAUACGACCACAGUCUGACAGUAAUAAUAAUAAUAAGACUGCAUCAUGUUAACAUUUAUCUACUGCUCUAUCAUGAAACAGCAAAUCCGUGUUCACAUUUUGAUUUUAUGUGAGGACAUAUACAACAAAACCUGAAGCUUCUAUACAGUUUGUGUCAAACCCGAGGCCUGUGGGCCAAAUCCGUCCCUCUACAUCAUUUUACGUGGCUGCGAAACGUUUGAUAUGAAUGCUUGGCUCAAAAUUAGAUUGAAAAAUCAAUGGCUUCCUGAAAAGUAAGUUACAAAGAAGUUAUUUUGGGUAAGGUUGAUUACAUUUCAAACAUAUCAUGAAAGAGAAAACGUGUUGAAAUAAAAUAACAAGCAUGAAAAGGUACAAGGAGAACCAGACACUUCAGACACUUUUGUUUUGCUGAGAUUCUGCUGACCUGGAUGCAUUUGAAGCAUCUGAGACAGGACGUCUUUUCAACCUUUUAUUUAUUUAGAUCCCUCCAGGCCGCGGGGAUGUGGAUCUGUGUGAUAGCACGUCACUCAGAUCUGCUUAGAUAGGACUACGGUUUGUUACGUGAUAGCUCCUACAGGGGCCUGUUGUCCUCAUGUUCACUCCUCUGUUCCUGCCAGAGGCCUCGGUGAAGCUAGUCUGGAUAUGACGGGCCCAGAUAGCACAGAGCCAUUGCAGGGGGGUUCGUAGAUAUGAAUGGCAGAUAUGAAUAUUUGGUGAAGAGUCAGCAAAAAAAACUUUUCUGCACAAACGCCAAAUCCCAUUAAUCGCAAGUGGUUGCUAAGAAACCGCUACAUUUCCCACUGAUUUCAUCCUUGUUCCCCGCAGUUAUCAUCAUUGUGAAUCCAGCGAUGUCAUGGAGGACGAAGCCUCCAGUAAGUCGGAAUUUUUUUGUCCUGCAGAAAGCUAAAUAACUCUGCAUCAAAAGGUGGCACGCUGACAUCCAUUAAACCCAUCGAUUAGCACAAGUCAUUUACAAACAGUCCAGAGCUAAUUAGCCACCAGCCAAGAAAUGGACUCAUUAUGGGACAUUAAACUACAAUAUAGAAGUUGUUCACUGGAGAAAACCAAUUAGUGCCAGGAUUUGGAAACUGUCUAUGAGGUACUGAGAUGAUGUAAUCUUGGAUGGCUGUUUAUUUAGUGAAUUAAUGAAUUCUCAAAUAUUAGGUUUAUUUUGGUUUGGCAUUUUUUUUUUUUUUACAAAUACAUAUUUUUUUAAUUUAUGCAUCACUUUAAAAAAAAAAAAUUUAUGUUGUUUAUUUCAAGAUGUGGAGACAAGAUAUUUCACAUGAAAUAACCCAUCAAGAAAAUAGAUUUUUAAGAGUUCUUUUUAAGAGAUCUCCUCCUGGGAUAUUUGUGGACAAAAAAAGUUAGCGAUAAAUGUUGUAAUUUCGGCAAUAACGGUAAUUAUCAUGAUGAAUACAUUGCCAUUCCAUUCUCCUUCUAAGUCUCUCUUGAAACUGUUUUAUGAUAAAUAUAAUAGUUAACUAAGUGUAGAUAUGAGAAAUUCAAUGUUUCACUUCUCUGGUCUGCCAGACUGCUCUGCCAGCUUUAUUUAGGCGUUAAAUCGAGCCGUCUGUCUGCUGUAUCUCAUGUCUCUAACCAGUUAACUUUAACUGUGGACCAGUCUGGACACAUGUCCUAGAUGCUAUUGAAGAAAUAUUAGAUAUAAUGUGAAUAAAAGAUAAUUUAGUCAUAUUCUAUUCUCCAAAUCAUCACACAAACUGUCAGUUUUGUGUGAUGAAAAAUCCUUUCACAAUUUUGUCUUCUAAAAUGGUUGUUUUUCAUUGCCUUAAUGAAUAUUUCGCUGAUACUUCUACUGUUUUAGAAUUUGUUGAUGGUCCCUAACUGAUGCCGGGUCGUAGCAUUAGCGCUGCCUGUGAGAGUGUGUCCGCGGUCAGUGAACCCUAAUCGGUGCUGCGUUUUCCACACAGUAUUUCACCGAGGCACCAGUGCAGCGGGACACCUGCAUGUGUUGAUAUGAACCAAGGCAGCGACCGCGUCGGAGAACCUAUGAGGACCACUUCUUCUAAUAAAACUAUAAUCUAAUAAAUACAGAUCCAGAGACUCAGAGUCAACCAGUGUCAUUAUCAAAGGUUCCCUGUAUUAAAAAUUAGUUUAAAACCACGUUUGUGAACCAAAGUCCAAUGCCGCGAUUGUGCCGUGUGUUUAUUGAAUUUAGCGUGAGAUGCAGAAUUGUCAUCUUGGAGAUUGUGUUUGGCGGUGUACGAUAAGUUAUCGCCCAUCUCUAAUGUGAUGUAAAUGUAUAAGAAAGAGAAAGAAAGAAGAGCAUACUGGUCUGGCAGCAAGUAUGAAAUUGAACUUCUCUCACACUUUAGAGGGCAACAUUCCCGGCUACAAAAUGAUUUAGUCUAUCAAGCAAAAGAUCCAUUUGUAAAAUUCUGCCGCGGCAAAAUUAAUCAGGGCAAGUUAUUGCUUCCUUCAUGCACACGCUUCCAGCAAUUACUUAAAAUAAGCUCAUUGUAACCAAGCCAAAAAGAGCCGAGUCCACCGGGAGCCGGGGCUCAUAUAUCACUUCAUGAGAUGAGGAUGGGGGGAGGCUGCUGUAAUGCAACGUUGUGGUUCAUAUGAGAUGUAGGGUGACAUGUCCUUGUCAUGUCAGGCACCAAUAAAGCAGCACCUCUCAAGAACUGGAGGAAGCAGUUGAAAUCUCUGGAGGGCUUUGAUCAUGAAAUGUGUCUUCGACUGGUGCUGCCAGGCACAAGCAGUUGAGUUUGAAACAUUGUUUUUUGGUUUUGCUUUAUUUUAAAUUAAAUAUCAUCAUGUGUGCUUCAAUUUCUUUUUAGGUAUAGUUGAGGUAGCAUUUGUUUUUAGGUGCAGUUGUUGAGAGGAGGUUGGGAUAAAUGAGGCCCUCAUGAGGUCAGAGCAAAAGUAUUAUUAGGAUAUGAAUUCUGAAUAACACUCAGUAGUUAUUUCUUUUAGUUUAUUUAGUUUAUUUUUCUUCCUUUGUUUUAGAAUUAGGUUCUUCUAAUGACCACUGCUCUUUUUAUGAGUAGAUUUUUUGUCCCCCAAAAUAUAGGAAUGGAAGAUAUUGCACAAAAUACAUUGUAAUAAAGUCAUAACUACAUCUAUGUGAUUUACCUGGAGUUCUGUUGGCUAAAUAGUCACCAACUAAAAAGAUCCAUUAUUUCUGAUUUAUAUCUAUAAUAUUUGGAUAAAGUGAAAUAGCGUUAAAUCUAAUGGCAUAUUUUCUUCUGACCUUCUGUCUUUUGGCUUUACUGCCCCAACAUUAGUCACAGGAAAGAUUGUGGCCCCUAAGGAAAUUCAAUUGCUCAAGUUUAGGGACUGGGUCCUGGACUGGUUUACAUUACUGCUGAAUGUACAUUUUUUUUUGUCAUGUAAAACUCAUUUUCACAUUGUCACUAGUUCUAUCAAUACGGUGUAAGUCUUUAUUUAUGGUCUUGAACAAUUGGCCGAAUUGGCCUGCAAAGAUCGAGGCUGCCAUGAAUAUUACUGUGAGAUUGACCUGUGUGUUGUGGGGUUACCAUUGGUAAAAAUAAAUAACUUACAUUCUUCAUCCACCAUGCCUUCACGCUCUUCUUCACCUCCCUUGAUCUAACCAUCUGCAUUUUUCAACAUAUAUUUUAGAAUUGAUAGUUUCAAUGUCAAGCCGGCCUUGAGGUGGUCUCUUUACUCUCGGAUGGGGGUCAUAGUUGCCAAAUCCAACUCAUGGUUCGACGCCAGAGAAAACUAAUUCCUGGAUCAAUGUGAGUUGGAAGAGUGUGUUUGGGUGGCAUUUCUGAGCGAGUAAUGCGCUCGAUAUUGAGCCACAGAUACUGUCGAAGCAACAGAAAUGAGUUUUCUCCCUCAGUGUCUGGACUCUCCCUUAGUGAUGUUAUUAGUGUCUUGGUCAUCAGAGAGAGGCUCAGAGACAGUCACGGAGGCUGGCAUCCAACUGACCAGACAUAUUGCAUAUCGGAGAUUAUAUUUCACAGUAAUCCUGAGUAUGCCUCGGUAUUCCCCCUGGAAUGGUGACGGAGGUAUCUAAUAUAGUCGAGGCCACUCUGUAAAAGACGACUGUCCCUGAUAAAUGGAGGGAAUGAGAUGGGACUGAGAGAAAACUAAAUCUGAGUGAGUUCAAAUUCAACAGAUCAACAUCAACAACAAGGAUCUUGAAGGUUGAACUUUAAAUGCUUGUCCUACUUCUGCUCUUGGAUAAAAAGUCUUGUCUAAAAUGUGAUAAAUACUGCUGUUUAAAUCUUCUAAACCAGACCUCAUUAAAUUUGCAGACAGCCAAUAUGGUCUAAAGCUGACCUGAGCAAAGUGCGGCCCAGGGCCCAUAUGUGACCCUUUGCCCGUGUUUUUGUGGCCCUCAUGAGGUCAGAAUAAAACUAUACAACUGAUAACUUGUCAUUUUUUUUAUCCCGUUUUAGCCGGUAACAGUAAAUACAACACAUUCCUGACUAAGUUUUUGUUUCUUUUCUUCUUGUUUCUUUUCGUUUGUCAUUUUAGUAUUUUCCUCAAAAUUCGCUGAAAGAAAAUUCAAAACAUAUUUUGAAAUAAAUUGUCUUGUUUGGUCCAUAGUUUUAUUGUGAUUUCUAUUCAGCUAAAAUGCACAUAAAAUGAUUUUUUAAUAGAUUUUCUUAAUAUCCUUGCUUCCAUUGAACAUUUAAUGGUUCAUUUCACCAUUACUUAAGAUUUUUUUUUCCGUCAUAUUUCGCAGUCAUCGCCGCCUUUCUUUUGGCAUGAUGGCCCCUCACAACAGUCACAGUUUAUAAUGUGGCCCUCUGGUCUAAAGCAUGGGCCUUGUUGCAUAACUCCAUCGUUGAGUGAGUGUUAUAACAGUCAGGACAGCGGAGGUGAUCGUGUUAAUAAUACCAUGAAGAAUAUUGGUCCACCCACAAAUAGACAUAGUGCCAGCUUUAUGGACGCAGUAUUAUUUUAAUCGCUACACACUUUGUGCUGAUACAUUAACCUUUGUCGCCGAAGCGCCUUGGUUUAUGCGUUAAUAAAGUAUUGAACAAAUGUCCCUCAAGCGGCAUCAGACUUGAUCGGUUGCUGAUAGACAUCAACAAUUGGAUCAGCGCUGCAGAGAGAAAGGACAUUGCGUGCGUGCACAUCAAUCUAAAAGUGUCUGGCAGGCAACCGGAUGAGGAAGAGAUAUCGAUUCGGGAUUACAGAGGCAGAGACCGUCCAGGACGUGUAGCAACAAACGCCUUCAGCGUCAACAGUUACUAUCUUAAUUAAUGUAGUCUCAAUGGCCUGGUGAAAAUGUUUUUUUUUUAUUUACUUAAUGCUUCAUUUGAAAAUAAUGUAGCACUGUUAAAGUUACUUUAAAAAUACAUUCUUUUUUUUUGAAGUUGUUGUUCCGAUGGAACUGAGAGGGAUGAUUCUCCAGCAGAUAUUAAUGCUACAAAUGUGCUUAAAAUUACAAAUGGAAAAAGGUUUUAUUUACACGGCGGUGCUGAGCGAGCUCUCAAGGUCCCAGUGGUCCAUUAGCACAUCAACAGCAGUGGCAGUUCUAAACAGCAGCCUCCACAAGGUCAUGUCCGCCUGAGUAAUGGGCAAUCUCCUUUCACUUAUCCAUAAUUAGUGGGCAUUUCUUCACUGUGAGCCCUCAUCAUGGAUUCAUCAAUCACACUGAGCUCCUCUCUUUAGGCAAAAUAUAAACCGUAGGAUCUUCCGUGUCACUCCAAAUGAUGAAAUGAGUGUUUAUUCGAUUUAAAUUAUGAUUUAUAUUAAACUCUGCGUAUGCACAUGGUGUUCGCAGCAAAAACUCAAGGUCUUGCUCCCAAAAAGAGUGUUGUGUUACCAAACAGAUAAACUCGGACAAGGGUGCCCAUUGU